rnacentral:lncRNA from 1 species
GGACGGGGUCAGGUGGGCGCCUUGGGCCGGGGCUCUGCUUCCUCGGGCUCUUAAUGGCAGCCUGGCGUCACUGGGUUAACGCUGGUCCCUCCCUGUGCCAGAACGGCGGCUGUGCGGGCUUUUGGCUGCGUCCGCAUCAUACUGUUACGGAUAUGAGAUGCAGCAAUAACUUAUGAAAUGUAGUGUGAAGGCCAAGGACUUAAGACAGUUUUAAAAGGGGAUUAUACAGAUUCAUGGAAGAAAAGGCUGUCAAUGGCUCGUCAUCACGAUGGCCAUGCAUUUCAGCCAGAAUCAGAGGCGGCAUCUCUAAACACCAGUCGCUAAGGAACCACAGAAGGAGAAGGAGGGCGCUGCCCUCAUGUCCCUUAGGCAUCUGGCUGACCACUCAAGGAAACUGGAUGCUGGACGAGGUAGGAAGUUGAUCUGAUCCAGCAGAGUUCUUAUUAGGUCUGCAACUCAACACAAACACCUUGUUGAUGGUCAGUGGGCCAGCCAUGACUCCCUGCUCCCCGCAGCUUUUACUUAGCUGAAAUGCUGCUGGUCUCGUUGAGUGUAUCUCUCAGAUGGCACCAUCUCUUUUGAAAGGGAGAGACAUGCCAGGAGCACAUCAUCAGUCAGGCUCACACACAAAGGAGCAGAGAGACGGCAAGAAUCAUCCUGACAAACAAAGGGCUAGUUUCACAGGCCAGCGAUCAGCCCUUAAAAGCCUCCCUCCCCUCCCCACUCUAAUGGAAGAAGUGUCUCAGCAUCCCUCGAUACAACCUGAAAACCUACGUCCAGGAGAAUCUUAUCCAAUUCAGGGCAUUUCCAGGCUGUCUCUGUUUUUAGCAGCACCAAAGGAACCUCCCUGUGGCGCACGCUUGGGCAGAGUGUAUGGGGGUCCUGGGCAGCCCAGACAACAAGACCCCCUCUCCCAGCCUCACAGAUGUGGUCCAAAGGAAAGCAGAGCAAUACAUUUGGCACCAGCUUGGCUGCAAGAGUUUCCGGAAGGAGGCAUACAAGAGACUACUGUGGAACAAAAGGAGUAUGUGAGUAGCACACCACAUGAGUGCAGUUCUCUCAUGUUUUAA